rnacentral:rRNA from 1 species
GUAUGCGAUCAUACCAGCACUAAAGCACCGGAUCCCAUUAGAACUCCGAAGUUAAGCGUGCUUGGGCGAGAGUAGUACUAGGAUGGGUGACCUCCUGGGAAGUCCUCGUGUUGCAUUCC